UACGAAGGGUGCAAGCGUUAAUCGGAAUUACUGGGCGUAAAGCGCGCGUAGGUGGUUCAGCAAGUUGGAUGUGAAAUCCCCGGGCUCAACCUGGGAACUGCAUUUGUGACUGCAUGGCUAGAGUACGGUAGAGGGGGAUGGAAUUCCGCGUGUAGCAGUGAAAUGCGUAGAUAUGCGGAGGAACACCGAUGGCGAAGGCAAUCCCCUGGACCUGUACUGACGCUCAUGCACGAAAGCGUGGGGAGCAAACAGG
rnacentral:rRNA from 1 species